rnacentral:rRNA from 1 species
AUUGAACGCUGGCGGCAGGCCUAACACAUGCAAGUCGAGCGGAUGAAGGUAGCUUGCUCCUGGAUUCAGCGGCGGACGGGUGAGUAAUGCCUAGGAAUCUGCCUUGUAGUGUGGGAUAACGUCCGGAAACGGGCGCUAAUACCGCAUACGUCCUGAGGGAGAAAGUGGGGGAUCUUCGGACCUCACGCUAUCAGAUGAGCCUAGGUCGGAUUAUCUAGUUGGUGGGGUAAAGGCCGACCAAGGCGACGAUCCGUAACUGGUCUGAGAGGAUGAUCAGUCACACUGGAACUGAGACACGGCCAAGACUACUACGGGAGGCAGCAGUGGGGAAUGUUGGACAAUGGGCGAAAGCCUGAUCCAGCCAGGCCGCGUGUGUGAAGAAGGUCUUCGGAUUGUAAAGCACUUUUAGUUGGGAGGAAGGGCAGUAAGUUAAUACCUUGCUGUUUUGACGGUACCAAGCGAAUAAGCACCGGCUAACUACGUG